rnacentral:rRNA from 1 species
UACCAGCUCUCCGAGUGGUAGGGAUGAUUAUUGGGCUUAAAGCGUCCGUAGCCGGCUUAGCAAGUCUCCUGUUAAAUUCAGCGACCUAAUCGUUGAGCCGCGGGAGAUACUACUAGGCCAGGAGGCGGGAGAGGUCAACGGUACUUCCGGGGUAGGGGUGAAAUCCUAUAAUCCCGGGAGGACCACCAGUGGCGAAGGCUGUUGACUAGAACGCGCUCGACGGUGAGGGACGAAAGCUGGGGGAGCGAACCGGAUUAGAUACCCGGGUAGUCCCAGCUGUAAACGAUGCGAGCUAGGUGUUGGGGUGGCUACGUGCCACUUCAGUGCCGCAGGGAAGCCAUUAAGCUCGCCCGCCUGGGGAGUACGGCCGCAAGGCUAGAAACUUAAAGGAAUUGGGCGGGGGAGCACCACAAGGCGUGAAGCUUGCGGUUC